rnacentral:pre_miRNA from 19 species
CACCACAAGUUGGUGAAGCUGCCAGCAUGAUCUGAUGAUGAUGAUGAUCCACCUCUCUCAUCUGUGUUCUUGAUUAAUUACGGAUCAAUCGAUCAGGUCAUGCUGUAGUUUCAUCUGCUGGUUGG